AUGAAGGCCUAUGCUGACAAGAAAAGAACUGAGAGAGUUUUUGAAGUGGGACAGGAAGUGUUUCUGAAAUUGCAGCCGUAUGUGCAGUCUUCAGUAGUUCAUCGAGCUAACCAUAAACUUGCAUUCAAGUUUUAUGGGCCUUAUGAAAUCUUGGAACAAAUUGGAGAAGUGGCUUAUCGACUGAAACUUCCUGAUUCAAGCAGAAUACAUCCAGUUUUCCACGUUUCCCAACUCAAACAAUACAUCAAAAAUCCCAUUCAGGUACAGUCUGCCUUGCCCUCAAAUUUUGCUCAUCUUCAAGUUCCUCUCAAAAUUUUGCAGCGUCGUGUGCGCCGCAAGGGA
rnacentral:rRNA from 1 species